rnacentral:rRNA from 1 species
AUCGCCCGGGAACUACGAGCAAAGCUUAAAACCCAAAGGACUUGACGGUACCCCACAUCCACCUAGAGGAGCCUGUCCUAUAAUCGAUAACCCCCGUUUAACCUCACCAUUUUUAGCCUAUCAGCCUGUAUACCUCCGUCGUCAGCUUACCCCGUGAGUGACCCUCAGUGAGCUUGAUGCCCAUACGCCAACACGUCAGGUCAAGGUGCAGCAGAUAAAGUGGAAAGAGAUGGGCUACACUCUCUAUUUUAGAAAAUACGGAAGACUAUCUAUGAAACCUAGUCAGAAGGCGGAUUUAGUAGUAAAAAGAGACAAGAGUGCUCUUUUUAACAUGGCACUGGGGUGUGUACAC